rnacentral:lncRNA from 1 species
UAUGGUUUAGCGUCCGUUUGCAGAUAUUUGCUUCCAAAUGAAGACGGAGUUUCUCUUGCUCCCAUUUUCCUCUUAGCUCGGGAGAAAGUUUCUGUAGAUCCUUGGUUUGUUUUCUAAUUUCUCUGCGACAUCUUUCAUGAGUCAUGAAAAUUCCUUUAUAACAUUGUGAAGCACUCUUUACAUUGUUGUAAAAGGGUAUCUUUCCGCACGAAAUUUGUGCUGACGUUCACAUACGAGUAUUUUCAAUCUUUCAUAUACAUUAUUUCCAUUCAUUUUCUUUUUUUUUUUAAAUUUCAGUAUCUGUGAAAGAAAUUUUAUAUCCCCGAAUUGAAUAGGUACCACUUGAAAGAUUGUUUAUUGGAAGGGACCCUGCCUUUUAUGAAGGCACAUAAUGCAAAAAAUCCAUUUGAGUAUGCUAUGAAAGAUGCUAGAAGACGGAACCUCUUCAAUCAAUCAAUGCGCAAUCAUACGGCUUUAGUUAUGAAGAAAAUUCUUGAAAUCUACAAAGGAUUUGAAGAGAUAAACCAAUUGGUAGAUGUUGCCGGUGGUUUAGGUGCUAAUCUCAGCUUACUAGUUUCUAAAUACCCACAAAUUCGGGGUAUUAACUUUGACUUGCCUCAUGUCAUUAAAGAUGCACCUUCUUAUCAAGGUAUUCAUUAAUUUAAAAGAAAAAAUUAGUGGCGCUUCGGUAGUUUGGUGAAAUAAUCAUAAAAAAAAAUUUAAUUUUAUUAAAGAUAUUCAUAUAGAUCCACUUUUUUAUAUUUAUGCCAAAAUGAAAGAUAGUUAGGUUAUUACAGUAAAAAAAUAGUUAGGUUAUUAUAAAAAAAAAAAAAAGAAUUAUCUUUAAAAAAAUUUAUGUCUAUAAUUUCAAAAAUAUGAGAUUUCUAUGAUUAUUUCACCAAACCUUCGAGUGUCACUGUCGUUUCCCCUCAAUUUAAAUAUAAAAUAACAUGAUAUAUAUUUUUCUUUACAUAUUGUAAUUUUUUUAAAAAUCGUGCUAUUUUGAGUUAUAUAUUUCGCUUAAUUAUCAGUUAAAAUAUUAUAUAUAAUUUGCUUUUUGCUUUUUCCUUUUUCUUAAUUUCGCUUGUAGGUGUGGAGCAUGUUGGAGGAGAUAUGUUUGUUGAAGUGCCUAAAGGAGAAGCUAUUUUCCUGAAGGUUAGUUCUCCAAUUAAUUUUUCCACUUGCCAACAUAUAUGUUAACUCUGCAUAAAUUCUGGAAACUAAUAUAGGAAAUUAAUUUUCAUAUAAAUCUUCAGUGGAUACUUCAUGACUGGAGUGAUGACCAAUGUGUGAAGAUACUGAAGAAUUGCUACGAUGCUCUUCCAGAAUUCGGGAAGGUCAUUGUGGUAGACUCUUUAAUACCAGAGUCCCUUGAGACUGAUAUUUUAAGCAGGCUUGUUUAUCUGCUUGACAUACAAAUGUACACUUCCUUAGCUUUUUUCAGUUUCUUUUCUUCUCCAAUUCCAAGCCAUCUUUGUAGCUUCCACAAGCUUUCCGGAACAACAUGCCGAUAAAAUAUUGAUUCCUCGGCAUCUUCCAAUGCCAUUAGGAGUCGAACUUCUGGAAAUUCAAUUGACAAACAACCAGGAUCAUAGCCUGUAACAAAUAAGCUCGUAGAAUCAAACGUAAACCUCUGGAACAAAUCCUGCAGAUCAACUGUUGUGCCUUGUUUGGACAUGUGAUCAAGAAUUGGAAUCAGCCCUUUCUCCAGUUUAGCUUGAUUGGAUUUCACCAAAAACUUGUAGAAGCUAUGACGAUUCAUCAAAGCUUGAGCAAACCUUCUUUGGUUUUUCCACAAAUCUGAGUCGGAGUUGAAAAUCCCAUCUCCUAAAAUAUCAAAGAUUCGCUUGAACUCUGGCCCUUUCGGGAAAUUUGAGAAGUUUGAGCUCAUUAUGUGAUGUACGUUGGCUGGAUCAACUGUGGCCAAUAUGUCCAUGUUUGCGAACCAAGGACCUUUGAAUAAAAAUGUGCAUUGAGUUUUCUCUAGAACUUCUGUGCUAUAAUCAUGGAUACGAUGAACGUUAAGAAGAAGGUGUGGCAGCGUACCUACGACUGGGAAGUUCUUUGGGAUUCCAUUGUUAUUGCUGAAACAAUAUCGAAGAAUCAAGAAGCAAAUGAUUGCCAAGAAGAUAUCCAAAAGCCCAAUUAAAGCCAUGUGAGAUGUUUGGAAGGGUAAGUAUUCUAUAAGCCGUUUCAAACUUCACACACACACACAUAUAUAUUCAUUCCCUAUUAAGAAUAUCCUCACUUGGAUAAAAUAAAGAUGCUAUCAAUUAAUAAAAAAUACAGAUUUCAAUACAUUAACAAACAAAAAUUAUAAUUUUCAAUUUAUUAAUAUUUAUAUUUUUUUAUAUUUUAAUGAUCAUCCUCACUUUAAUAAAAUGAUAAUAUCUUUACUAGAGAAAAUGUGUGUAUAAAAUUUUUUAGGUGCAUAUCUAAAUACAGAUUUCAUGUGAAUUCACCAUUAAUAUUUCUGUUCAGUUAAUUACAACGCCAUAUGAUGUAAUAACAAAUUUACAGGAAAUGUUCAUUUAAGCAUCAACACCCAAGAAUAUAAAAUGGGAAGUUAUUUAUAUAGGAUAUCAAUUUAUAGAAGCACAUGGGCCUAGCUGCUAAUAAUAAUAAUAAAUAAAUAAAUAAAUAAAAACUAGCUCAAGAGAUUGCCAAAAACUUAUAUUUGUCAAUCUUGAACUUAUUGUCAGUCGAUGUGGAGCAGGUCCACUCACACCGUUACAUAGAGACUAGUUGAUGUGCAGUAUCAUGAGUGAGUCUACUAUGAUAGUAUAUAAAAAUCUGCUGAUUUAACUCAUAUUUAAAAAUUUAUCUCAAGGAUUGAGAAUUUACCUCAAUUUUUUUUCCCCCGCUGUGGUGUUAAAAAGGAAAAAUGGGACCGGGAAUUUUCUUGGUUUAUUGACGGUAAUGAUGAGCCAUUUUCGGGGUUAUCAAUCCACUGACUUUUUGUCUUACUUUCAUCGGUAUGAUGGAAGUAAGAUGGUCACUGUGAUCGUUCAGUUGCUAUGCCACCACGGAAGUUUGCUUCUACUAUUAGGGAGGGAGGAAAAAAAAAAGAUAAAGACUAAAAACUAAAUGGGAUUAGAUAAAAUAAAAAAUAAAGAAGGGUUUCAUGAUAAAAAAAAAAAAAGACAUCUACACUCUAAAAAUUUAGAAAAAUAAUUAUGUAGACCUAUAAAUUUUUAAUAUAAAAAACUAAAAUUUUCUGUUGAUUGUAACAACCUCAAAAGAUAGUAAUUAUUUUUAUUUUUUAUAAGUAUAAAUAUCAUUUAAAUAAUUUAAUUUAUCUAGUAGACUAAUGAUAUUAGAAUAUUUUUAAUAUACAAAAUAAUUUUUUCUGCUGUACCGUACAUCCGCCUUGGCCGUACAGCAGGAAACCACCAAACGAUGAGGAAGAUUUCAUGCUGAUCAUGGAGCUUGCCCACAGCUCAUUACUUCCGAUGACCAUGAAAGCUAUCAUCGAGCUUGGUGUGUUAGAGAUUUUAGCUAAAGCUAGUCCAUCUCAGCUUUCUUCUUCUGAGAUUGCAUCUCAGCUGCCCACAAAUAACCAAGAAGCCUCAACAGUGCUUGAUCGAAUGUUACGACUCCUUGCUAGUUACUCUUUCCUAACAUAUAAUCUUGUCACAAAUAAAGAUGGAAAUGUUUGCGGAGUAUAUGGUUUAGCGUCCGUUUGCAGAUAUUUGCUUCCAAAUGAAGACGGAGUUUCUCUUGCUCCCAUUUUCCUCUUAGCUCGGGAGAAAGUUUCUGUAGAUCCUUGGUUUGUUUUCUAAUUUCUCUGCGACAUCUUUCAUGAGUCAUGAAAAUUCCUUUAUAACAUUGUGAAGCACUCUUUACAUUGUUGUAAAAGGGUAUCUUUCCGUACGAAAUUUGUGCUGACGUUCACAUAUGAGUAUUUUCAAUCUUUCAUAUACAUUAUUUCCAUUCAUUUUCUUUUUUCUUUUUUUUUAAUUUCAGUAUCUGUGAAAGAAAUUUUAUAUCCCCGAAUUGAAUAGGUACCACUUGAAAGAUUGUUUAUUGGAAGGGACCCUGCCUUUUAUGAAGGCACAUAAUGCAAAAAAUCCAUUUGAGUAUGCUAUGAAAGAUGCUAGAAGACGGAACCUCUUCAAUCAAUCAAUGCGCAAUCAUACGGCUUUAGUUAUGAAGAAAAUUCUUGAAAUCUACAAAGGAUUUGAAGAGAUAAACCAAUUGGUAGAUGUUGCCGGUGGUUUAGGUGCUAAUCUCAGCUUACUAGUUUCUAAAUACCCACAAAUUCGGGGUAUUAACUUUGACUUGCCUCAUGUCAUUAAAGAUGCACCUUCUUAUCAAGGUAUUCAUUAAUUUAAAAGAAAAAAUUAGUGGCGCUUCGGUAGUUUGGUGAAAUAAUCAUAAAAAAAAAUUUAAUUUUAUUAAAGAUAUUCAUAUAGAUCCACUUUUUUAUAUUUAUGCCAAAAUGAAAGAUAGUUAGGUUAUUACAGUAAAAAAAUAGUUAGGUUAUUAUAAAAAAAAAAAAAAGAAUUAUCUUUAAAAAAAUUUAUGUCUAUAAUUUCAAAAAUAUGAGAUUUCUAUGAUUAUUUCACCAAACCUUCGAGUGUCACUGUCGUUUCCCC